GGCCUCUGCCUCUCGCCCACCUGCGCCAUGAAGGGAUGGUCUGGCUCGGAUCCAAGGAUGGAAGAGAGAGAGCAGGAAAGGCUAGCACAGCACGGAGACCGAGCCAGAGAGAGACCUCUCAAUGAAAAGUACCCUCAGCGUUUCAACUUCCCUGAAGGUCCUAACCAAGUUCUGGGCACUAAAUUAAACAAAGAGUCUCUAAAAACAAGUCACUGCAGAGGGUUUCAAUAGUACUCCGCCAACCAGCCUGCCAAAAGACGGAUGAUAAGGGGAGAGCACCGCAGCCAGGAAGGCGGACUCGGUUCCAGCUGGAUUUAGGGUCAAAAGGUGGCUGAGGCAUGGUCUUCCCAGAAGAAGUGAGUCACGAGGAAAGUCUGAAAGGGAGGCAAGGUGGCGGAUUUAUUUUUCCCAAGGCCCAGUGUGGGUGUUGGCUUCACAAUAUGGAAAAGAGCAUUAAAAGAGAAGAAAGGAAAUGGCCAUGCCAGAAAACUGCCGUCAGCCAAAUCGUACUACGCAUGCUUGCAGAAGUCGACUUGCAAAAUUUCCACUUGAAAAGGGAUUGAGGAAGAUCAGGGCGAAAUGGGCACCUAGCUCUGGUUGGGAACAGCAGUGACUCCGGGUGCAUGGUAUCUCUAUGUCUUUCAAGUGUCCUCGUCACCCUAACCAUGGUCAACACCAAGCCCUGGUCAGCCACCAGCCACGCUGAGCCACAGAACCAGGCUGCGAUGUGCAACAGUGCCCCUAAGAGGCGCAGACUCGAGGGCGUGUGUGACAACUGACAGCUACAUGGCGCAGAUGUGGCUGGGCAAGUCUUGUCUGGACAGACAUCCCCUAGCCUCUGCCUGGAAACAAAGUGGGCGAGCAGGCUCACAGGAAACCUGAGUGCUACCUGCCCAGGUCCCCUAACUCUAUGCCUGGAGCAGGCAGGUGGCACGCUUCUUUCUGGUUUACUCAACUUCCAAUAUGACUAACAAAGAAAAUGCCAGAACCCCCUUAGACAGCAACAUAAAGGUAGAUGUCAUCUUCAGGAAAAGUCCAUGUGUCUGAAAUGGUUCUCUUUUGAAUGCAUUUGUAAAGAUGUGAAAUCUUAUUUACUACAUACUGUGUGUGCAUGUGUGUGCAUAUAUAUUCACACAUACAUAUAUACACACACACACAUACAUAUUACUUUUUAAAAGUCUGUUAGACAAAUCAGGACUGAAAUAUGCCAAAAAGACUAAUGCUAUGGCAUUUUCUUAAACUUUAUUUUAAACUUCAUAUCUUUUAAUUAUUGGUAUCUUUACUAACGGCUACGGCAUUGGUCACUUACACAUAGUUAAGCCUUAAUUUUCCUCAGAGACUUCAAAAAGGAAAAGACACAAAAAACUAAAAGAAAUAAAAAAUACAUCUGUAGCUUUUAAAAAUUUCUAUAGCACUGGUCACUUACACAUAUUUCAGCCUUGAUUUUCCUCAAAGACACAGAAAAUGAAAGGAAGGAAACAGAAACAAAUGGGGAAAUUGGGUCAAAAAAGAGAAUAAAGCAGGGAAGAAAAGAUAAGGA
rnacentral:lncRNA from 1 species